rnacentral:rRNA from 1 species
GAUGAACGCUGGCGGCGUGCCUAAUACAUGCAAGUCGAGCGAACGGACGAGAAGCUUGCUUUUCUGAUGUUAGCGGCGGACGGGUGAGUAACACGUGGAUAACCUACCUAUAAGACUGGGAUAACUUCGGGAAACCGGAGCUAAUACCGGAUAAUAUUUUGAACCGCAUGGUUCAAAAGUGAAAGACGGUCUUGCUGUCACUUAUAGAUGGAUCCGCGCUGCAUUAGCUAGUUGGUAAGGUAACGGCUUACCAAGGCAACGAUGCAUAGCCGACCUGAGAGGGAGAACGGACACACUGGAACUGAGAAACGGUACAGACUCCUACGGGAGGCAGCAGUAGGGAAUCUUCCGCAAUGGGCGAAAGCCUGACGGAGCAACGCCGCGUGAGUGAUGAAGGUCUUCGGAUCGUAAAACUCUGUUAUUAGGGAAGAACAUAUGUGUAAGUAACUGUGCACAUCUUGACGGUACCUAAUCAGAAAGCCACGGCUAACUACGUG